GCUCUCAGAAGUGCCUCUGGAAAGAUGACUCAGAGGAGGAGUAGCGGGAGGCUCCUAUGGCAUUCGUCCGAACGCGGGAAAGAGCAUUCCCUCUUACUGUACAUAUGACAGGAUUCACCACCUCUGCAUCUGCAAACGACGCAGCCUGGGAACCUGGUUCACCAAGAGCAUCUGAUCCUUUCGUGUACUUCAGCACAUGAAGCAAUAAGCUAAUCCCUGAAAUCUGAGCACAGCUUCAGUGUACAACUGUGAAAAGUUGCCUCCCA